UCCACAGAAAGUAGGACUUUUCCAGACAA
rnacentral:piRNA from 1 species